rnacentral:rRNA from 1 species
ACGGUGGAUGCCCUGGCAGUCAGAGGCGAUGAAGGACGUGCUAAUCUGCGAUAAGCGUCGGUGAGGUGAUAUGAACCGUUAUAACCGGCGAUUUCCGAAUGGGGAAACCCAGUGUGUUUCGACACACUAUCAUUAACUGAAUCCAUAGGUUAAUGAGGCGAACCGGGGGAACUGAAACAUCUAAGUACCCCGAGGAAAAGAAAUCAACCGAGAUUCCCCCAGUAGCGGCGAGCGAACGGGGAGGAGCCCAGAGCCUGAAUCAGUGUGUGUGUUAGUGGAAGCGUCUGGAAAGGCGCGCGAUACAGGGUGACAGCCCCGUACACAAAAAUGCACAUACUGUGAGCUCGAUGAGUAGGGCGGGACACGUGGUAUCCUGUCUGAAUAUGGGGGGACCAUCCUCCAAGGCUAAAUACUCCUGACUGACCGAUAGUGAACCAGUACCGUGAGGGAAAGGCGAAAAGAACCCCGGCGAGGGGAGUGAAAAAGAACCUGAAACCGUGUACGUACAAGCAGUGGGAGCCUCUUAAUGGGGUGACUGCGUACCUUUUGUAUAAUGGGUCAGCGACUUAUAUUCUGUAGCAAGGUUAACCGAAUAGGGGAGCCGAAGGGAAACCGAGUCUUAACUGGGCGUUAAGUUGCAGGGUAUAGACCCGAAACCCGGUGAUCUAGCCAUGGGCAGGUUGAAGGUUGGGUAACACUAACUGGAGGACCGAACCGACUAAUGUUGAAAAAUUAGCGGAUGACUUGUGGCUGGGGGUGAAAGGCCAAUCAAACCGGGAGAUAGCUGGUUCUCCCCGAAAGCUAUUUAGGUAGCGCCUCGUGAAUUCAUCUCCGGGGGUAGAGCACUGUUUCGGCAAGGGGGUCAUCCCGACUUACCAACCCGAUGCAAACUGCGAAUACCGGAGAAUGUUAUCACGGGAGACACACGGCGGGUGCUAACGUCCGUCGUGAAGAGGGAAACAACCCAGACCGCCAGCUAAGGUCCCAAAGUCAUGGUUAAGUGGGAAACGAUGUGGGAAGGCCCAGACAGCCAGGAUGUUGGCUUAGAAGCAGCCAUCAUUUAAAGAAAGCGUAAUAGCUCACUGGUCGAGUCGGCCUGCGCGGAAGAUGUAACGGGGCUAAACCAUGCACCGAAGCUGCGGCAGCGACACUAUGUGUUGUUGGGUAGGGGAGCGUUCUGUAAGCCUGUGAAGGUGUACUGUGAGGUAUGCUGGAGGUAUCAGAAGUGCGAAUGCUGACAUAAGUAACGAUAAAGCGGGUGAAAAGCCCGCUCGCCGGAAGACCAAGGGUUCCUGUCCAACGUUAAUCGGGGCAGGGUGAGUCGACCCCUAAGGCGAGGCCGAAAGGCGUAGUCGAUGGGAAACAGGUUAAUAUUCCUGUACUUGGUGUUACUGCGAAGGGGGGACGGAGAAGGCUAUGUUGGCCGGGCGACGGUUGUCCCGGUUUAAGCGUGUAGGCUGGUUUUCCAGGCAAAUCCGGAAAAUCAAGGCUGAGGCGUGAUGACGAGGCACUACGGUGCUGAAGCGACAAAUGCCCUGCUUCCAGGAAAAGCCUCUAAGCAUCAGGUAACAUCAAAUCGUACCCCAAACCGACACAGGUGGUCAGGUAGAGAAUACCAAGGCGCUUGAGAGAACUCGGGUGAAGGAACUAGGCAAAAUGGUGCCGUAACUUCGGGAGAAGGCACGCUGAUAUGUAGGUGAAGCGACUUGCUCGUGGAGCUGAAAUCAGUCGAAGAUACCAGCUGGCUGCAACUGUUUAUUAAAAACACAGCACUGUGCAAACACGAAAGUGGACGUAUACGGUGUGACGCCUGCCCGGUGCCGGAAGGUUAAUUGAUGGGGUUAGCGGUAACGCGAAGCUCUUGAUCGAAGCCCCGGUAAACGGCGGCCGUAACUAUAACGGUCCUAAGGUAGCGAAAUUCCUUGUCGGGUAAGUUCCGACCUGCACGAAUGGCGUAAUGAUGGCCAGGCUGUCUCCACCCGAGACUCAGUGAAAUUGAACUCGCUGUGAAGAUGCAGUGUACCCGCGGCAAGACGGAAAGACCCCGUGAACCUUUACUAUAGCUUGACACUGAACAUUGAGCCUUGAUGUGUAGGAUAGGUGGGAGGCUUUGAAGUGUGGACGCCAGUCUGCAUGGAGCCGACCUUGAAAUACCACCCUUUAAUGUUUGAUGUUCUAACGUGGGCCCCUUACCGGGGUUGCGGACAGUGUCUGGUGGGUAGUUUGACUGGGGCGGUCUCCUCCUAAAGAGUAACGGAGGAGCACGAAGGUUGGCUAAUCCUGGUCGGACAUCAGGAGGUUAGUGCAAUGGCAUAAGCCAGCUUGACUGCGAGCGUGACGGCGCGAGCAGGUGCGAAAGCAGGUCAUAGUGAUCCGGUGGUUCUGAAUGGAAGGGCCAUCGCUCAACGGAUAAAAGGUACUCCGGGGAUAACAGGCUGAUACCGCCCAAGAGUUCAUAUCGACGGCGGUGUUUGGCACCUCGAUGUCGGCUCAUCACAUCCUGGGGCUGAAGUAGGUCCCAAGGGUAUGGCUGUUCGCCAUUUAAAGUGGUACGCGAGCUGGGUUUAGAACGUCGUGAGACAGUUCGGUCCCUAUCUGCCGUGGGCGCUGGAGAACUGAGGGGGGCUGCUCCUAGUACGAGAGGACCGGAGUGGACGCAUCACUGGUGUUCGGGUUGUCAUGCCAAUGGCACUGCCCGGUAGCUAAAUGCGGAAGAGAUAAGUGCUGAAAGCAUCUAAGCACGAAACUUGCCCCGAGAUGAGUUCUCCCUGACUCCUUGAGAGUCCUGAAGGAACGUUGAAGACGACGACGUUGAUAGGCCGGGUGUGUAAGCGCAGCGAUGCGUUGAGCUAACCGGUACUAAUGAACCGUGAGGCUUAACCUU